AAAUGACUCUCGGCAACGGAUAUCUCGGCUCUCGCAUCGAUGAAGAACGUAGCGAAAUGCGAUACUUGGUGUGAAUUGCAGAAUCCCGUGAACCAUCGAGUUUUUGAACGCAAGUUGCGCCCGAAGCCAUUAGGUUGAGGGCACGUCCGCCUGGGUGUCACGC
rnacentral:rRNA from 1 species